ACAAACCAACAGAAACUACAUCACCCAAAUUAAAGAGUAGGGAAGAAUAUUAAGUAUUUUUUUAAAGUUAAAAAAGAUACUUUUCUUUAAGGUUCUAUGUCCGAUUUUGCAAGAGGGCUUUAGCUCAGCUUCAACAGACAUGGAGAGCAGAAAGCGGUUAAAAAAAAAAAUAGCAACAAAAAGUUCGAAUCUGUCAGACAGCCAUUAGACCAUCCCAAACCCCGUUGACGGAGAUGAGAACGAUCAUCUACGGCGGCCAUGGGUGCUGUUAAUCACGCUCUGGUCAAAUGGCCACGUGUCAUCAACCAGACUUAGUUUCCUGUCUCCUUAGAACUCAAGGAUAAGGUGGUACGAGCCUAUAGAACAGAUCCUGUUCAAGUAAGGUCGUGACAUUUCUUCUCACGACUCUUGCUUAAGUAGCAAUUUCCAGCAUAGUAUUAUGCCGAUGUGGGACAAGGAGCAACUACAAGUACAAUUUUUAUGACAAGGAAAAAGGGAGAAGUUUUGCUUGGAUUUGAAGUCAUUAUACCAUCUCACCAAUGCCUCACAAAACUUGGUCUAUGGCAGCAGCUCUUCUGCUGUUUACAGGACUAAAUGUUGUUCUGGUCUCAACAAUAACUCCUGUCUAUGAUUCUGUAUGCUUCCAUCCUUAUUGGGAAAGAAUAGUAAGACACUCAUUUCCCUGUAUCCCUAUGAAGCUGAAAAAUAGUUCUCUCUUUCAGCAGUGUCCUACAUCUUUUAUGAUUCAUCAUUGGAUCGCGUCUUCUGGCCAUGCAGUGCCUGACGCAAAAUUCAUUAAAGUCACAAAAAUUCUUAAUGGUUACGCUUGUUUUGAUGAACCUUACAACCUGAUACAACCAUAUGUCAACGCCUUGUAUUCAAAUGUUUGAAUUGAGCAAAUAAUUUGUCCUGAAAAUACAAACCAGCUUCACUAAUACACUGGGGUCUUCUUUAUUGAUCUUAUGGAUAGUGAAGAACAGCAGUGUUCCUUUAAUUAGCAGAUGUGCAGAGGCCCUUUCAAUAGUUUUGAUCAUGUCUGCAGUUCAUAAAGAUGUUUAUUUGGAGCAUUUGGAUGUAUGUUUGUGUAAACUAUGACAAUUCAUUUCUGAUUUUUAGCUAACGCACAGGGAUAAAUUUAUUUCAACUGUUCUUCAGAUAGUUGCAGUUUUUAACUUGAUUUUGAUGCUUCUUGAUGGAUUCUGAAUAUGAGCUUCUGUUCCACGGUGUUUGAAAUCAUUAUACUAUCACCAAUGCCUAACAGAACUGUCAGCCUUUGUCAGCUCCUCUGUUGUUUGCCGGACUUAAUGUUAUUUGGUCUGAACGAUAACUCCUGUUUGCGAUUUUGUAUGCUUCCAUCCUUAUUGGGAAAGACGAGUAAGAUACAUAUUUUCCAUGUAUGAUGUAUCCUUAUGAUGCUGCAAAUUAUUCCUCCGUUCAGAAUUCAAUGUCUUACUCUACAGCUUUAUGUUCAUCCUUGUUUAUACAUCAUCUGGCCAUGUUAUUGAGUAGAUGAGAAUGUGGAAUCCAUUAAAUAUAAUAUUAGUAUCAUGUGGUUCACAGAACUAUCAUAUGUUGGAAUCACAUGAAACUCUUAAUGAUUAUGCCUCUUUAAAUGAACCUUAAUUACGAUUAUCAUCAACAGGUGCCAUCUUGCUGCUGCUUUGUUUAACUUGUUUUAUAUGUUGUUGAUUACUCAGAGAACUUAGUGGUGUGUUUUCACCAACGCCAUUCAGUAAGUUAAGCAGAGAGGUGUCUGCAAUACCAUGUGAAUCCUCAUUGUUCAUCUGCUUGCUAAUUUUGCUGUCAAACACUCUGGAUUUGGAUGCAAUAAGAAUAGAAAGAUCUGCAGAAGGUCGCGUUGCUGGCUGCGGUACUAUGUAUCUACAGCAUGACACUUGAAUUUUCAAGAUCAAUUUAUAUAUUAUUGUUCUUCUGAUUUUUGUGUUGCAACACUAGUGUUUACUUCAUUGUUAUCCUGUAUAUUAAAAGAGAAUCAAAUAUAUGCUCCAUUGAUCUUUUCUCUAUUUCCAAACAGAAAGCUAAAGAAAGAACAAUGUCAUUUUAACUGAUUCUCCCACAUCACCAGGAGGGAAGAGAAGUGAAGCAAAAGAACUAGCAUAAAAUAUGGGCUGGGCACACAGAAUAACAUACUUACCUGGACGGGGUCAAUGGGUGAUCAAUAAGGCCCAUGGCCUAGGUUGGUGACCUCCAUUGCACUUAGGAGGGGUGCCCGCCUAAGGUCGGCCCAAGCGGUCGAGCCUACGUCAUAAUUUGUGGCAGCGGGGGCCUGCGUUCGCGCAGCCCCUACCCAAUUCAAGUCUAAACUUUUUCAGUCCACUGAGAAAUUUGUCCACUUGUUUAUUCUGAUGUUGUAUUUUAAUGGAAAUUCCAAUAAUAUGUUGCGUGAAGUAAAGUUCAUUUGUUUCAUCCUGUUAAUUAGAGAUUAAGUCAUACUUAUAUACGAGCAAAUGGAUUAUUAAUGUUUUAAUA